rnacentral:rRNA from 1 species
UCCGGUUGAUCCUGCCGGACCCGACUGCUAUCAGAGUGGGACUAAGCCAUGCGAGUCAACAUAGCAAUAUGUGGCAUACGGCUCAGUAACACGUAGUCAACAUGCCCAGGGGACGUGGAUAACCUCGGGAAACUGAGGAUAAACCGCGAUAAGUCACUGCUUCUGGAAUGGGCAAUGACUUAAAUCUAUAUGGCCCCUGGAUUGGACUGCGGCCGAUCAGGCUGUUGGUGAGGUAAUGGCCCACCAAACCUGUAACCGGUACGGGCUCUGAGAGCAGGAGCCCGGAGAUGGGCACUGAGACAAGGGCCCAGGCCCUAUGGGGCGCAGCAGGCGCGAAACCUCUGCAAUAGGCGAAAGCCUGACAGGGUUACUCUGAGUGAUUUCCGUUAAGGAGAUCUUUUGGCACCUCUAAAAAUGGUGCAGAAUAAGGGGUGGGCAAGUCUGGUGUCAGCCGCCGCGGUAAUACCAGCACCCCGAGUGGUCGGGACGUUUAUUGGGCCUAAAGCAUCCGUAGCCGGUUCUGCAAGUCUUCCGUUAAAUCCACCUGCUUAACAGAUGGGCUGCGGAGGAUACUAUAGAGCUAGGAGGCGGGAGAGGCAAGCGGUACUCGAUGGGUAGGGGUAAAAUCCGUUGAUCCAUUGAAGACCACCAGUGGCGAAGGCGGCUUGCCAGAACGCGCUCGACGGUGAGGGAUGAAAGCUGGGGGAGCAAACCGGAUUAGAUACCCGGGUAGUCCCAGCUGUAAACGAUGCAGACUCGGUGAUGAAUUGGCUUUAUGCCAAUUCAGUGCCGCAGGGAAGCCGUUAAGUUUGCCGCCUGGGGAGUACGGUCGCAAGACUGAAACUUAAAGGAAUUGGCGGGGGAGCACCACAAGGGGUGAAGCCUGCGGUUCAAUUGGAGCAACGCCGGAAAUCUUACCGGGGGCGACAGCAGAAUGAAGGUCAAGCUGAAGACUUUACCAGACAAGCUGAGAGGAGGUGCAUGGCCGCCGCCAGCUCGUGCCGUGAGGUGUCCUGUUAAGUCAGGUAACGAGCGAGACCCCUGCCUCUAGUUGCUACCAUUAUUCUCAGGAGUAGUGGAGCUAUUUAGAGGGACUGCCGUCGCUGAGACGGAGGAAGGAGGGGGCUACGGCAGGUCAGUAUGCCCCGAAACCCUCGGGCCACACGCGGGCUGCAAUGGUAAGGACAAUGAGUAUCGAUUCCGAAAGGAGGAGGCAAUCUCUAAACCUUACCACAGUUAUGAUUGAGGCUGAAACUCGCCCUCAUGAAUAUGGAAUCCCUAGUAACCGCGUGUCACUAUCGCGCGGUGAAUACGUCCCUGCUCCUUGCACACACCGCCCGUCGCUUCAUCGAAGUUGGUUCUUGGCGAGGUGAUGCCUAAUUGGUACUAUCGAACCUGGGGUCAGCAACGAGGGAG